rnacentral:rRNA from 1 species
GGUGAACGCUAGCUACAGGCUUAACACAUGCAAGUCGAGGGGCAGCAUGGUCUUAGCUUGCUAAGGCCGAUGGCGACCGGCGCACGGGUGAGUAACACGUAUCCAACCUGCCGUCUACUCUUGGACAGCCUUCUGAAAGGAAGAUUAAUACAAGAUGGCAUCAUGAGUCCGCAUGUUCACAUGAUUAAAGGUAUUCCGGUAGACGAUGGGGAUGCGUUCCAUUAGAUAGUAGGCGGGGUAACGGCCCACCUAGUCUUCGAUGGAUAGGGGUUCUGAGAGGAAGGUCCCCCACAUUGGAACUGAGACACGGUCCAAACUCCUACGGGAGGCAGCAGUGAGGAAGAUUGGGCAAUGGGCGCAGGCCUGAACCAGCCAAGUAGCGUGAAGGAUGACUGCCCUAUGGGUUGUAAACUUCUUUUAUAAAGGAAUAAAGUCGGGUAUGGAUACCCGUUUGCAUGUACUUUAUGAAUAAGGAUCGGCUAACUCCGUG